GAAUGUUAUCACGGGAGACACACGGCGGGUGCUAACGUCCGUCGUGAAGAGGGAAACAACCCAGACCGCCAGCUAAGGUCCCAAAGUCAUGGUUAAGUGGGAAACGAUGUGGGAAGGCCCAGACAGCCAGGAUGUUGGCUUAGAAGCAGCCAUCAUUUAAAGAAAGCGUAAUAGCUCACUGGUCGAGUCGGCCUGCGCGGAAGAUGUAACGGGGCUAAACCAUGCACCGAAGCUGCGGCAGCGAACGUAUCACUUAAAGCGAUUCAGCGGGUUACGAUUGACGGAGCGAAGCGACGUCAAAGCGUAUACAAAGUCGAGUCGGUUUAAGGAUACGUUCGUUGGGUAGGGGAGCGUUCUGUAAGCCCGUGAAGGUGGCCUGUGAGGGUUGCUGGAGGUAUCAGAAGUGCGAAUGCUGACAUAAGUAACGAUAAAGCGGGUGAAAAGCCCGCUCGCCGGAAGACCAAGGGUUCCUGUCCAACGUUAAUCGGGGCAGGGUGAGUCGACCCCUAAGGCGAGGCCGAAAGGCGUAGUCGAUGGGAAACGGGUUAAUAUUCCCGUACUUGGUGUUACUGCGAAGGGGGGACGGAGAAGGCUAUGUUGGCCGGGCGACGGUUGUCCCGGUUUAAGCGUGUAGGUGUGUGUUCCAGGUAAAUCCGGUUCACUUUAACACUGAGGCGUGACGACGAGGCACUACGGUGCUGAAGCAACAAAUGCCCUGCUUCCAGGAAAAGCCUCUAAGCAUCAGGUAACACGAAAUCGUACCCCAAACCGACACAGGUGGUCAGGUAGAGAAUACCAAGGCGCUUGAGAGAACUCGGGUGAAGGAACUAGGCAAAAUGGUGCCGUAACUUCGGGAGAAGGCACGCUGACACGUAGGUGAAGUGAUUUACUCAUGGAGCUGAAGUCAGUCGAAGAUACCAGCUGGCUGCAACUGUUUAUUAAAAACACAGCACUGUGCAAACACGAAAGUGGACGUAUACGGUGUGACGCCUGCCCGGUGCCGGAAGGUUAAUUGAUGGGGUCAGCGCAAGCGAAGCUCCUGAUCGAAGCCCCGGUAAACGGCGGCCGUAACUAUAACGGUCCUAAGGUAGCGAAAUUCCUUGUCGGGUAAGUUCCGACCUGCACGAAUGGCGUAAUGAUGGCC
rnacentral:rRNA from 1 species